CCACAGAGGGCUGGACCCUCCCACAUCAAUCACUAAGAAAAUGUCCUAGGAGCUGGAUCUUAGGAGAGUCAUUUUUUCAACAGAGGCUUCCUCCUGUUAGAUGACUAGAGCUUGUGUCAGGUUGACAUAAAACUAGUCAGCACACCCCUUUGCUCUAGUCCCUGGAGGAGAACGAUUAUUUUUGAAACCAGGACAAGCCCCUAGUUUGUUCUUCAUUAUACAAGAUAACGCAAGUCAGUACUCACUGAAUGAAGCCUGAGGUCUUGUCUAAGGAAGAGACCUAUGCAAAGACCUAAGCUCAGCCCUCCCCAGGGCAAGUCAGCCCCAUGGCUCCCAUCCAAGGAAGGAAGACUUCUAUCAGGCUGGGCGAAAGGGAUGGCGUAACUUUCAGAGACACUGCCUUUGGGGAACAAGCUGGCAACUUUAUGUAGGAGCCUUGGAAAGCUGAUGGAGAUCACAAAAGGAAGAGCGAGUCCCUUGAACAACUCCCAUCUCCUCAAGCAAACUCCUGCCCUUUCCACCCCCAAAAGACUAUGCCGAAAUCAUGACACACUGUACUGUUAAGAAUUUCUCCAGUGGGUUCGGUCCCCAGCUCCGAAAAAAAGAACCAAAAAAAAAAAAAAAAAAAAAAAGAAUUUCUCCAGUGAUUUUGGUCACCUGUUGCCUGACAUGUAGAAAGUACUUCCUGGAUGCUCAUACCAAGAGCUGUCAUUUUCUGAGUAUCAGGCCACGUCCUGGGGAGAUAGAAGUUCCCAUUUAACCUUCCCUGAUACUUCUUACCAUCCUUAUUUUGUAGAAGAACCAGAAAGCCAAAGACCUUGAGUCAUGCCCUGGCUCCUAGCCAGGAUAAAGGGUUCAAAUCCAAACCAUCUAAGUCCUGAAUCCACCUACCACCCAAAGUCAGUUUCCCUCUCUCUAUGCCAGAGCCUUCUCUCCUGGGUAGCCCUUGAACACCUACCUAGAAAUUGCUACCUUCUCUGGGGAGGCAUUCCCAAGCUCAUCCCUCCCUCUGUGGCAGACGGGAGCAAUCUUCAAGAGUCUCUGUUUUCAAACUUAAUUUGUGAGUUCUUCCUGUAAGGAUACCUUUGAUAUUCCUGCAGCCCAUCUGCCUGGACAGGUCACAGGAGCAGAAUCAAGGGUGCUCAUUGAAAACAUUCAAUUAGCUAAGUUUUGAAGAACGCAGCCCCGGAUGCUCCAGGUCCAUGCUUGGAGGUUUAGAGUCUUCCUCCCCGACCUCCAUCUUUUAAUUGCUUUUUCCAGGUUCACCGCUGUCCUCUCCAGAUACUUCAGACAUACCCAGCCCAUGGUAUAGUCCCCAAAGUACCUUCUCAACGAAUGCUCACCCAGUACUAUAGUAGAUUUGAGGGAUUUGUUACUGAAUGGAGGCCUCUAGAAGGGCAGACUCAUUCCAAGAUGAGGACAUGCCUUUGCUGCUCAGUGGCUUCCAGCAGGAACCUUUUAAUACAUCACUUAUUAAAAUGGACCUUCAGCCUUGGCCCAGGGCGCCGGGCAGCUCCAGGCGCUGGCUGGCCAUAUCCAUACGCUGCCCCCUUCUGACCCCUGUUGUGCAGGAUGGGGGGAGAUGGGCAGACUUGAGGAAAACACACCAACACAGGACUUUUAAAGGCUGAAGGACAACCACUGAAGCCAGGAACCGAGCCAAAGUCUGUCUGUACCCUCAUCCGGACGCUGUGCUCUGGGUUCCAAUCCUGCCUCUGCAGAUAACAAACCAAGGCACUUGGCAGGAAUUAUUACCCUUCCUGAGACCGGUUCUCUGCUGUGCAGCCAGAGCUGAGGACCGAACCCAGGGCCUUGGGCUUGCUAGGCAAGCGCUCUACCACUGAGCUAAAUCCCCAACUCAAAUUCCUCUUCUUGACCCUAUGAGGCAGAAGUUGAGUUCAUUUAUCUUCGAAGCCCAAGCAGCUUAAGUUUACAGAAGUUCCAGUUCAGAGAGUAAGAAAAUCAGAGCUGGGACUUGAACCCAAAGUCCAGCCUCCUCAGCUUCAAUGUCCACAGGACUAGCAGCUUCCCGCCCCAACGGGAUGGCCAAGGCCUCAGGGAAGCCACAAGGAGCCCUAUUUGCAAAAUUCAAAGUCCACUGAUUCAUGUAUUCUCUGGGGAUAGCCUGGCCCAUCCGGGCCCCACUGGCUGAUGUCCCCAACGCGCACGACUUGUUUUACCCCACAGGUCAAAGCCACCAUCUCCUUAUUCCAGUCAGAUGGACAGCAAAGUCCCCGAGAAACAAGGCCAACGAAAGAAAGGAGACACAGGAAGUUCUUUAUUGUACAUUGGAGAAAUAGCCCUGUGUGCUGGUUCAAGGUGCAGCAUACAGAAUAAAGAAUUAAGAAAAGAAGGAACUGGGACUGGGGUGGGGACCUCUUGAGGUCCAAAGUUGCAAACAAAUAAAAAAAAAAAA
rnacentral:sRNA from 1 species